rnacentral:misc_RNA from 1 species
ACAAAAGGCUUUUAUCCCACAGAGCUUGUAAUCAGUCCAUAUGCUCCAGCCUAUGUAGCGAGAAAAAUAGAAUAAUAAUUAACUUCUAGUGGUUUCUCGAUUGCUGGAAGGCGGUUUCCGGUGCUGCUCGGUGGUUUUCAGGGCUGUUUUUUUAGGGUAUGGGGAGGAUGGGGGGUAGUCAGAUGACGUACUCGGUGAAUCCCGAUGACUAUAAGCUUCUAGAAGAGGUUGGCUAUGGUGCGAGUGCUACUGUGUAUAGAGCAAUCUAUCUUCCUUUCAACGAUGUCGUCGCCGUUAAGUGCUUGGAUCUCGAUCGGUGCAAUAGCAAUCUGGAUGACAUACGAAGGGAAGCACAGACCAUGCGUUUGAUAGACCAUCCAAAUGUGAUUAGGGCAUUUUGCUCAUUUGUUGUUGACCAAAAUCUUUGGGNNNNNNNNNNNCAGGGUUCUUGCUUGCAUCUAAUGAAGAUUGCCUAUCAGGAUGGGUUUGAAGAGGCUGCUAUUGGUUCCAUUCUGAAAGAAACUCUCAAGGCUUUGGAAUACCUGCAUCGACAAGGGCAUAUUCAUCGGGAUGUUAAGGCUGGAAACAUACUAUUGAAUGGAAAUGGCGAGGUAAAGCUUGCUGAUUUUGGUGUUUCAGCUUGCAUGUUUGAUACAGGUGAUAGACAACGUGCUAGAAAUACUUUUGUGGGGACUCCAUGCUGGAUGGCACCAGAGGUUUUGCAGCCAGGAAGCGGAUAUAAUUCCAAGGCNNNNUUGGUCUUUCGGUAUAACAGCAUUGGAGUUGGCACAUGGUCAUGCUCCUUUCUCAAAAUACCCUCCAAUGAAGGUUCUUUUGAUGACCAUACAAAAUGCCCCUCCUGGACUUGAUUAUGAUCGUGAUAAAAAGUUCUCUAAGUCUUUUAAAGAAAUGGUUGCAAUGUGCCUGGUAAAAGAUCAAACAAAGAGGCCAACAGCUGAGAAGUUAUUAAAGCAUUCCUUUUUCAAGCAUGCAAAGCCUCCAGAGCUUUCUGUGAAAAAGUUAUUUGCAGAUUUGCCCUCUCUUUGGAAUCGUGUGAAAGCCCUUCAGCUUAAAGAUGCUGCACAGCUAGCUCUAAAGAAAAUGCCUUCAGCAGAAC